UGCAGAGCUGCUCCGCAGGCCGCUCUCCGCCUGGGAGGCGCGGGCCGCGCUUGCCUGGUGGCUGUGCGCUCUUCAGUUGCGCUGCUCGGCCUCAGGACACUUCUAGAAGGAAAAUUGAUUCUUCAUUUCGCUUCAGACGAAAGGAGCUAAAAAGUCUGCCAACUUAAAGAACUCGGACUCUCUUAGGGUGUACCACGUGACCUGUCGCAUUGCGCUCCGAGAUAUUCUGGAAAUGCUACUAAAGGAUCCAUUUAAAACCCCUGGAACACAAGUGUUAGUGCUGUUUCUGUUGUUACUGUGAAUGGCUCCUGGUAAAUAGGCCAUGGGUGAAGAGACCAUGCUUAUCAAGAAGAACAGGCAUCUCUAAGCAGAGACUUUGCUCCAAAGAGUUCUGGCUAUGUUAGUCUUUGGAAUACCUGCAAAUACACAGGAACAUAUGGAAAUGAAGAGACGAACCCUCAGUGAGGUGGACUCUCAUAACUCUAAGCAGAGGAGAGGUUAAAGUCACCCUAAUCCAUGCCAUCUGUUCAUGCGCUUGAAAGUCUGGCUACUUGAUUGCAAUGACUGUUGCAGAAGUUGCUGGGGAGGCCAUACCAGUGGGAUGUGGAAAAGAUAGCUUUGACUACGUUGGAAGCGCCGAGAGCCAGAGGUUCCGACUUCCUUGCCAAGAGAGAAGAGAGGGAAAUCGCCUGACACUGUUUCAGCCUAUUCGAUGUGCUGCUGGGCAUCAUUCAGUAAAGGAAACACCUUUCUGAUCUGAUAUCGAAGAGUAUGGUGGAUGUGCUUCUAAUGACAAUCUAGUGGUGGGGGAAGCAGCCGAGAGAAGUCGGUAGCCCAGUUUUCCAGUCAUGCCAAGACAGGAAGAGGAGGACUAGCUACCGAGAUUCCCUUGAGAGUGGAGAAAGAGGAAGAGAAUCCUGAUGGGAGAAUCCUGAUGGGAGGAUUAGCCCAACCCCAAGAUCACUAUAUGGGUAUUGUAAUUGGGGAAACAGAAAGCUGACAGAAGAUUAAAGCUUUGUGUGAAAUAAAGGGUCUUUCUGAUCCGUCCUGAGUAGGAGG
ensembl:lncRNA